CAGAGGGAGACGUUACUAGGGAAGAUUGGUUAGAGGGAUGCAGCGAUGCUGGCUUUGGAGAUGGAGAAAGGGCCGUCUCCGGAAGCUGGAAAGGCAAGGAAAUGAAUCCUUCCGCGGACCCUUCAGCAGGGGAGCAGGCCUGUUGACACCCUGAUUUUAGCCCUGGAAGACCUGUGUCAGACUUCUGACCUACAGAACUAUCUUAUCCCCUGCUGGACAGCAAAGGGAGUGAACCUCCUCUACCUUACGAACGCAGAGCAUGCCCGUCAAGAGCCACCACCAGCGCUGAAUGGAGAUGGUGGAAAAAGUGGCAAUCAGCGGUGGAUAUUAUGUGGCAAUUGACCUUUACAGAAAUGAAUGAGCAUUAGACUAGAGCACCGAUUGCAUGUGGCCUUGACCUCAUGGUGUCAGGAGUGCUACCCUCUCAGCUUUGAGUCCAUGUCUCAGCGGGGAGGGAGGUGAGUCAACCACAGAGGAGAACACCGCCCUACCUGCCUCUUCUAUAACGUGUUCCCACUUCUCAGUGACUUCUGCCUGACUCUCACUGGCCAGAACUGGGUCAUAUUGUCAGUCCACAUACAGGAAAGACUGGGGAGGUGAGUAUUAUAGCUUUCUGGAUUCUCAUGGUCAAGCAAAAGAAGGAAGGUGGGGUUGUGAAUGGCUGUGGGUAGCCAAGCCAAAGUGUCUGCAUCAGCAUGCUCCAGAAGCACUGUGGAGGGAACUCUGGAUUCUGGAGCUGAAAAAAUCUGUAUUACCUGAGAUGGAGCUAAGCUUACCUUAUACCAAUGGCUGCUCUGAAGGUGAAUCCUGCCUGCAUCAGGGAUGCCCCCAAAAGUUAAUUUUUGAUCAU
rnacentral:lncRNA from 1 species